rnacentral:tRNA from 2 species
ACGCCGGUAGCUCAAUUGGCAGAGCAGCGGAUUCCAAAUCCGCAGGUUGGGGGUUCGAUUCCUCCCCGGCGUG